rnacentral:tRNA from 2 species
CCGGUCUUGGUGGAAACACGGCAGACACGCCAGCCUCAGGAGCUGGUGCCAGCAAUGGCAUUGCGGGUUCGACUCCCGCAGACCGGACCA